GGAGAGGACUAUUGAAGAAGCAGGUGUGUCUUUUCACAUGAAGAGGACUCGCAAAAUUUAGGAAAGAAAUGAAGAAGAAAGAGCUCCGGCGACGGUGUGCUUAUGGUGCACACACACGCACAUUGGUGGUAUUGUAUUGAACAAUGAGGGAAAUGGUCAGAGAAAAAACGAGAUUUAAUACGCCUACUGUGCCAAGAGGGUAGG
ensembl:ncRNA C07B5.9 ncRNA